rnacentral:rRNA from 1 species
UACGGAGGGAGCUAGCGUUGUUCGGAAUUACUGGGCGUAAAGCGCACGUAGGCGGCUUUUUAAGUCAGGGGUGAAAUCCCGGGGCUCAACCCCGGAACUGCCCUUGAAACUGGAGAGCUAGAAUCUUGGAGAGGCGAGUGGAAUUCCAGGUGUAGCGGUGAAAUGCGUAGAUAUCUGGAGGAACACCGGUGGCGAAGGCGGCAUCCUGGACCGGCAUUGACGCUGAGACGCGAAAGCGUGGGGAGCGAACAGG